UACGUAAGUGGCAAGCGUUAUCCGGAAUUAUUGGGCGUAAAGCGCGCGCAGGUGGUUUCUUAAGUCUGAUGUGAAAGCCCACGGCUCAACCGUGGAGGGUCAUUGGAAACUGGGAGACUUGAGUGCAGAAGAGGAAAGUGGAAUUCCAUGUGUAGCGGUGAAAUGCGUAGAGAUAUGGAGGAACACCAGUGGCGAAGGCGACUUUCUGGUCUGUAACUGACACUGAGGCGCGAAAGCGUGGGGAGCAAACAGG
rnacentral:rRNA from 1 species